GAUCCAUGUGUCUACAUACAUAGAUUCUGUUCAUGGAUUAACGAAAAUGAGCUCUAUUUGCCUCUGUCAUGCUAUGAGUCGCUUCCUUUUUGCGUAUGGCACCCCCACUCCCUUUAGCAGCAUCUACUAAUUUGGAACUUAAUUUGGAAGCCAUAUUUCGACCCGGACGCUUUUGGGAUGCUUCUAAUAACCAACGAAUGGCAAGUGCUUCCUUGUUUAGAUCCUAUUUCAAUCGGAACUUUCCGCGUCGAUCCUUUUUUAUUACGUCUUGUUUUUACUCCUAUAUUGGGAGUUACUCUACAUAUUGCUUGA
rnacentral:rRNA from 1 species